UACAGAGGUCUCAAGCGUUGUUCGGAUUCAUUGGGUGUAAAGGGUUCGUAGGCGGUGCGGCAAGUUGGGAGUGAAAUCUCUGGGCUUAACCCAGAGGCUGCUUUCAAAACUGCUGUGCUUGAGUGUGAGAGAGGCUCGUGGAAUUGCAGGUGUAGCGGUGAAAUGCGUAGAUAUCUGCAGGAACACCCGUGGCGAAAGCGGCGAGCUGGAUCACUACUGACGCUGAGGAACGAAAGCUAGGGGAGCAAACGGG
rnacentral:rRNA from 1 species